UACGGGAGGCAGCAGUGGGGAAUAUUGCACAAUGGGCGAAAGCCUGAUGCAGCUAUGCCGCGUGUAUGAAGAAGGCCUUAGGGUUGUAAAGUACUUUCAUCGGGGAGGAAAAAACAAAACUAAUAAUUUUAUUUCUUGACGUUACCCGAAAAAGAAGCACCGGCUAACUCCGUGCCAGCAGCCGCGGUAAUACGGAGGGUGCUAGCGUUAAUCGGAAUUACUGGGCGUAAAGCGCACGCAGGCGGUCUGUCAAGUCGGAUGUGAAAUCCCCGGGCUUAACCUGGGAACUGCAUUCGAAACUGGCAGGCUAGAGUCUUGUAGAGGGGGGUAGAAUUCCAGGUGUAGCGGUGAAAUGCGUAGAGAUCUGGAGGAAUACCGGUGGCGAAGGCGGCCCCUGGGACAAAGACUGACGCUCAGGGUGCGAAAGCGUGGGGAGCAAACAGGGAUUAGAUACCCGU
rnacentral:rRNA from 1 species